rnacentral:rRNA from 1 species
CCUACGGGUGGCAGCAGUGAGGAAUAUUGGUCAAUGGACGAGAGUCUGAACCAGCCAAGUAGCGUGAAGGAUGACUGCCCUAUGGGUUGUAAACUUCUUUUAUAAAGGACUAAAACGAGGCACGUGUGCCUUUUUGCAUGUACUUUAUGAAUAAGGAUCGGCUAACUCCGUGCCAGCAGCCGCGGUAAUACGGGGGAUCCGAGCGUUAUCCGGAUUUAUUGGGUUUAAAGGGAGCGUAGAUGGGUUGUUAAGUCAGUUGGGAAAGUUUGCGGCUCAACCGUAAAAUUGCAAUUGAUACUGGCAUUCUUGAGUACAGUUGGGGUAGGCGGAAUUCGGGGUGUAGCGGUGAAAUGCUGAGAUAUCACGAAGAACCCCGAGUGCGAAGGCAGCUUACUAAACUGUGACUGACAUUGAUGCUCGAAAGUGUGGGUAUCAAACAGGAUUAGAUACCCUGGUAGUC